GAUGAACGCUAGCUACAGGCUUAACACAUGCCAGUCGCAGGGUAACAUGAGGAAAGCUUGCUUUCCUUGAUGACGACUGGCGCACGGGUGAGUAACGCGUAUCCAACCUUCCCAUAACUACGGGAUAACCCGUUGAAAGACGGCCUAAUACCGUAUGAUAUCGUUUGCUGACCUCAAAUAACGAUUAAAGGUUUAGCGGUUAUGGAUGGGGAUGCGUCUGAUUAGCUUGUUGGCGGGGUAACGGCCCACCAAGGCGACGAUCAGUAGGGGUUCUGAGAGGAAGGUCCCCCACAUUGGAACUGAGACACGGUCCAAACUCCUACGGGAGGCAGCAGUGAGGAAGAUUGGUCAAUGGGCGAGAGCCUGAACCAGCCAAGUAGCGUGCAGGACGACGGCCCUAUGGGUUGUAAACUGCUUUUAUGUGGGGAUAAAGUGCGUGACGUGUCAUGCAUUGCAGGUACCACAUGAAUAAGGACCGGCUAAUUCCGUG
rnacentral:rRNA from 1 species